rnacentral:rRNA from 1 species
CUCCUACGGGAGGCAGCAGUGGGGAAUAUUGCACAAUGGGGGAAACCCUGAUGCAGCGACGCCGCGUGAGCGAUGAAGGCCUUCGGGUCGUAAAGCUCUUUCCUAAGGGAAGA